UACGUGAGGGGCGAACGUUGUUCGGUGUCACUGGGCUUAAAGGGUGCGUAGGUGGUUCUGUAAGUAAGGUGUGAAAUCCCUCGGCUUACCCGGGGAAUUGCAUUUUAUACUGCAGGGCUUGAGGACUAAAGGGGAAAAGGGAACUCCAGGUGUAGCGGUGAAAUGCGCAGAUAUCUGGGGGAAGGCCGGCGGCGAAGGCGCUUUUCUGGUUAGUACCUGACACUGAGGCACGAAAGCGUGGGGAGCAAACAGG
rnacentral:rRNA from 1 species